AGUGAACGCUGGCGGCAGGCCUAACACAUGCAAGUCGGACGGCAGCACAAGAGAGCUUGCUCUCUGGGUGGCGAGUGGCGGACGGGUGAGGAAUGCAUCGGAAUCUGCCCAUUUGUGGGGGAUAACCUCGGGAAACCGGGACUAAUACCGCAUACGACCUACGGGUGAAAGCAGGGGAUCUUCGGACCUUGCGCAGAUGGAUGAGCCGAUGCCGGAUUAGCUAGUUGGAGGGGUAAAGGCCCACCAAGGCGACGAUCCGUAGCUGGUCUGAGAGGAUGAUCAGCCACACUGGGACUGAGACACGGCCCAGACUCCUACGGGAGGCAGCAGUGGGGAAUAUUGGACAAUGGGCGCAAGCCUGAUCCAGCCAUGCCGCGUGUGUGAAGAAGGCCUUCGGGUUGUAAAGCACUUUUGUUGGGAAAGAAAAGCAGCCGGUUAAUACCCGGUUGUCAUGACGGUACCCAAAGAAUAAGCACCGGCUAACUUCGUG
rnacentral:rRNA from 1 species